rnacentral:tRNA from 2 species
GGGCCCGUAGCUCAGCCUGGUGGAGCGGCGGGCUCUUAACCCGUAGGUCCCGGGUUCAAAUCCCGGCGGGCCCGCCA